rnacentral:rRNA from 1 species
GCAAACGGUAAUCGGAAUACUGGGCGUAAAGCGCACGCAGCCGGUUUGUCAAGUCAAAUGUGAAAUCCCCGGGCUUAACCUGGGAACUGCAUUUGGAACUGGCAGGCUAGAGUCUUGUAGAGGGGGGUAGAUUCCCAGGUGUAGCGGUGAAAUGCGUAGAGAUCUGGAGGAAUACCGGUGGGAAAGGCGGCCCCCUGGACAAAGACUGACGCUCAGGUGCGAAAGCGUGGGGAGCAAACAGGAUUAGAUACCCUGGUAGUCCACGCCGUAAACGAUGUCGACUUGGAGGUUGUGCCCUUGAGGCGUGGCUUCCGGAGCUAACGCGUUAAGUCGACCGCCUGGGGAGUACGGCCGCAAGGUUAAAACUCAAAUGAAUUGACGGGGGCCCGCACAAGCGGUGGAGCAUGUGGUUUAAUUCGAUGCAACGCGAAGAACCUUACCUGGCCUUGACAUCCACGGAAUUCGGCAGAGAUGCCUUAGUGCCUUCGGGAACCGUGAGACAGGUGCUGCAUGGCUGUCGUCAGCUCGUGUUGUGAAAUGUUGGGUUAAGUCCCGCAACGAGCGCAACCCUUAUCCCUUGUUGCCAGCGCGUGAUGGCGGGAACUCAAAGGAGACUGCCGGUGACAAACCGGAGGAAGGUGGGGAUGACGUCAAGUCAUCAUGGCCCUUACGGCCAGGGCUACACACGUGCUACAAUGGCGCAUACAAAGAGAAGCGACCUCGCGAGAGCAAGCGGACCUCAUAAGGUGCGUCGUAGUCCGGAUCGGAGUCUGCAACUCGACUCCGUGAAGUCGGAAUCGCUAGUAAUCGUAGAUCAGAACGCUACGGUGAAUACGUUCCCGGGCCUUGUACACACCGCCCGUCACACCAUGGGAGUGGGUUGCAAAAGAAGUAGGUAGCAACCUCCGGGAGGGCGCUUACCACUUUGUGAUUCAUGACUGGGGUGAAGUCGUAACAAGGUAACC